GAUGAACGCUGGCGGCGUGCCUAAUACAUGCAAGUCGAGCGAACAGACGAGGAGCUUGCUCCUCUGACGUUAGCGGCGGACGGGUGAGUAACACGUGGAUAACCUACCUAUAAGACUGGGAUAACUUCGGGAAACCGGAGCUAAUACCGGAUAAUAUAUUGAACCGCAUGGUUCAAUAGUGAAAGACGGUUUUGCUGUCACUUAUAGAUGGAUCCGCGCCGCAUUAGCUAGUUGGUAAGGUAACGGCUUACCAAGGCAACGAUGCGUAGCCGACCGGAGAGGGUGAUCGGCCACACUGGAACUGAGACACGGUCCAGAGUCCUACGGGAGGCAGCAGUAGGGAAUCUUCCGCAAUGGGCGAAAGCUUGACGGAGCAACGCCGCGUGAGUUAUGAAGGUCUUCGGAUCGUAAAGCUCUGUUAUUAGGGAAGAACAAAUGUGUAAGUAACUAUGCACGUCGUGACGGUACCUAAUCAGGAAGCCACGGCUAACUACGUG
rnacentral:rRNA from 1 species